ACUCCUACGGGAGGCAGCAGUGGGGAAUAUUGGACAAUGCGGGCAACCCUGAUCCAGCAAUGCCAUGUGUGUGAAGAAGGACCUAGGGGUGUAAAGCACUUUAGUUGGGGAGGAAAGCCACAAGGUUAAUAGCCUUGGGGGAGGACGUUACCCAAAGAAUAAGCACCGCCUAACUCCGUGCCAGCAGCCGCGGUAAUACGGGGGGUGCAAGCGUAAAACGGAAUUACUGGGCGUAAAGGGU
rnacentral:rRNA from 1 species